AAAAGUCGUAACAAAGGUUUCCGUAGGUGAACCUGCGGAAGGAUCAUUACCGAGUGAGGGCCCUCUGGGUCCAACCUCCCACCCGUGUUUAUUUUACCUUGUUGCUUCGGCGGGCCCGCCUUAACUGGCCGCCGGGGGGCUUACGCCCCCGGGCCCGCGCCCGCCGAAGACACCCUCGAACUCUGUCUGAAGAUUGUAGUCUGAGUGAAAAUAUAAAUUAUUUAAAACUUUCAACAACGGAUCUCUUGGUUCCGGCAUCGAUGAAGAACGCAGCGAAAUGCGAUACGUAAUGUGAAUUGCAAAUUCAGUGAAUCAUCGAGUCUUUGAACGCACAUUGCGCCCCCUGGUAUUCCGGGGGGCAUGCCUGUCCGAGCGUCAUUUCUGCCCUCAAGCACGGCUUGUGUGUUGGGCCCCGUCCUCCGAUCCCGGGGGACGGGCCCGAAAGGCAGCGGCGGCACCGCGUCCGGUCCUCGAGCGUAUGGGGCUUUGUCACCCGCUCUGUAGGCCCGGCCGGCGCUUGCCGAUCAACCCAAAUUUUUAUCCAGGU
rnacentral:rRNA from 1 species